AAUACUUUAUUUUGUAGCACUAUAUAGUGGGAACAUCAUGAAGGGGAAUUAGUGCACCUCUGCACAGGACACCCUGCAGCACUUAAGUAACAGGCAGUCACUGCUCUACUGAUGGGAAAUAGUAGGCAAGGCUAUGAUGUUCUCUGAAGUGUGUGUACAAAGAAAUUUUAAACAGACCUUCUGCUGAUAGCAACUGCUGAGCCCUGGGCAGCACAGGGCAGUGACCUGUGCUGGUGAGGGGGAAAAGCAAUGGAGUGUGCUCCUGAGGGACUGAAGCUAUACUCUGAUCUCUUUUCAGACAGAGAAUUGAACAAGGAGGACAGCGCCCUGAAAAACGAGCAGACAGUUAACAAUGGUGUAAAUAAGGAAGAACUGUCUGCCAUGCAGAGCAGCACCCUGAGAUCCAAGUGUGCAGUUGAUGAUGGUGUAACUGAGGAAGGUGAGUGCCUGUUCAGAGAUGGGAAGCUGCCCUGGGGGGAAAAGUGUUGGUUUUUGGUGUUAGCUGAUGAUGUUGGCAAUAUGUUGAGUUGUAACUAGCAACUCAGUCUUAGGCAAUAGAGUCAUAGCUUGAAGCUGAGCAAGGCAGGGGACUGUAGUUGUCUUCUGACCUCUGUGCAUACGUCUUUAAUGAGAACAUUAGCAUGCUGGCCUACCAUGCAGAUGGCUAUAGCAUAAAUGAAGGCGGUAAGUGCCUGUACUGUGGAACAGUCUUUGUUCAUUGUGACUUUUGCCUAGUGCUUCCUGAUGUGCAGUUAUGGGUGGCACCAUGGGUGCUGAGUGCCUCCCAUGCUUGGCUUUCGCAGGAUCUGUAAAGGAUCAUGAAGACAGUGCAGAGUCAAGUAUGGAGGUGAGAGGGGAGGUGUUGAAUGGUGGUCCCAUGGGGAUGGGGCAUGUUGGCCAGGGUUAUUAUUCAUGCCAAAUGAAUGUCCCAGAUCUCAAUCAGAUUAUCCUUGAUCCAUCUGGGCCAGAGAGGCAGAGUGUUGUGAGGGCCAGAAUUGUCUGAGUAUUGCCUUUGUGCUUGCAGAACUGACGCAGGUUGCAGAAGGUGGAAAUGAGGAGCACCUGAACAACACUCACAGCUAAGAAGGUAUGUGAGAGUGAAGCUUCCUGUGUCUUGGAAGAGUGUUCUGACUGGCACAGAGGUUGGGAGUGGCAAUGCUGGGUCAGGCUGUGUGUGACUCUCUGACCCCUUUAUACUCAGGUAGAAAACAAGAGUGAGAAUUGGUAGGAGGGAAGUGGCGUGUGUGUGGUGGGCAUGUCCCUGUGUGAUAGGGAAUCCGAUGUUUGUGAUGGAAGUGUACAGAAGACUGGCCAAUUUAGCCAGUUUAGAAUCACAGAAUGGUUUGGUUUGGAAGGGGCCUUUAAGAUCGUCUAGUGCCAGCCCCCUUGCCUUGAGCAGGGAACAUUCCACUAGAUGGAUUACUCAGAGCCCCAUCCAGCCUGGCCUUGGACACCUUCAGGAAUGGGGCAUCCACAGCCCCUCUGAUCAACCUGUUCCAGUGCCUCAUCACCCUCAUAGUAAAGAAUUUCUUCCUAA
rnacentral:lncRNA from 1 species